UACCCGCAGCCCAAGUGGUGGCCGUUUUUAUUGGGCCUAAAGCGUCCGUAGCCGGUUUGGUAAAUGCCUGGGUAAAUCAUGGAGCCUAACUUCAUGAAUUCCGGGUAGACUGCCAGACUUGGGACCGGAAGAGGAAGAGGGUACUUCAGGGGUAGGGGUGAAAUCCUGUAAUCCCUGGAGGACCACCCGUGGCGAAGGCGCUCUUCUAACACGGAUCCGACGGUGAGGGACGAAAGCCAGGGGAGCAAACCGGAUUAGAUACCCGGGUAGUCCUGGCCGUAAACGAUGUGGACUUGGUAUGUGGAUGGUCAUGAGCUGUCCAAGUGCCGUAGGGAAGCCGUUAAGUUCACCGCCUGGGGAGUAUGGUCGCAAGGCUGAAACUUAAAGGAAUUGGCGGGGAGCACUGCAACGGGAGGAGCGUGCGGUUU
rnacentral:rRNA from 1 species